AUUGUUGAGAUAAUAUGCAAGAGAUAGCCUAAAUCCGAGCCAAGACUCUCAGAAUGUUUAUCCAAGAUCUGCCUCUACCAGCCAUCUACAAUCAGCAACUUGUCACAAAUAUUAGAAACCUUAGAGGUUACAGUAGAGGAAAAGGAAGCUGGGCUGUUGAUUGUGGACCCCAUAGCAUCCCUGGCUCAUAGGGAGAUGUUGGCGGGGUUGUCCCAGGCAAACGUAACUCAGGUCAACCAGUUGUUGUCUUGAGUUGCGACACUCAAGUCACUUGCACAGCACCUCAACAUGUGUUGUUGUUACAAAUCAGGUGACCAGUAGGUUCUUGGACAAAGAGCCCGAGAUCACAGGAGAAGGAAAUGAAGGUGAGGCUGAGACUUCUGUUUCUCAGCUUAUAAUUGCGAAAUCACCCGCUGCCCCUUUUGCAGCGUUUGCCUCUAUUAUUGGAGCAGGAGGAACAGAAAUCAAAGGUAUAGACCCUAAGAUUGUUUAUUUUGCCUCUUACUAUAUGCAGAUCCUGUCCCACGAUCUUGGAUUAACUAUAAUUAUUAAUUUAAUGCAUUAAAAAUUAUCCUCUGUCAUUUACUACUUGUGUGAUUUUUACCAUUAAAAUAGAGAAGUCCUUGGUAAUCCUCUAUUUGAAUUUUCCUUUUAUCUUCCCUGGCAACCACAUGAGCUUCCUUACUUUAGUAUUUAAAGUUAUGUAAAUUUAGGAUAAAACUUGUGUGUGUUUAUGAUACUAGUUUGUACAUUGCUUUACAGAUGUGUUCACAUGCAUUUGUGAUGGUAUAGUUAUA